GACAUACUCCGUUCCUAAAUUAUUGUCUUAGGUUUGUCUAGAAAUGGAUGUAUCUAAAUAAUAAAACGUGACUAGAUACACCCAUAUCCACACAAAUCUAAGACAAGAAUUUUGGGACGGAGGGAGUAUCUU
rfam:Hordeum vulgare subsp. vulgare, WGS project CAJW01000000 data, contig: morex_contig_137011